UGAACCAGUCAUUAUUGUAAAGUGAGAAUCGGAUACUUUGUUGGAAGCUCUACCUCUGUCCUUAGUUGUUUUCUUUUGCACACUGGUUGAAUGCCCGAGUUGGUGGAGUCCUUCAUUGAUUCUGGUAUGGAUAUUACUCUCUAUGGAUUUAUUGAGCAUACCUGCAAGACAGUGAAUCUCAGUUGUACGUGGUGACAUAUGGUGUGUGACUUCUGUGCAAGUUAAAUGCGGCUGUACCACGAGAGGAAUGACAACAGACUUGGUCUUGCAGUGUGUCUGUUUCUCACCCUGUCAAAUCGAAUGCUUGAGAAAAAUAAGGGCCUGCUUAUUAAAGGUUAAGCAAAACAGACUGAAGCGUUUCCAUAUCCUCGGUGCUUACAUGAAGAGGACUGUACACGUUCGCAAACGACCAAAAAAGCGCAGGGACUCGGAUUUUAAACGGACAUGACUCGCUUGUCUGUGUUUACGGAGAGAAAUAUAAGAAAAAAACUCCGCGCAACUCUGCUCUCUCCGACCGGAGAAAGUGAUAAGAUACGGCGCAAUCAACUUCAUCGGCAGGGAGUCGGUCGCUUCCUUUCUGAUCGCCAGUAUUGCGGACAACCCACAGACCUACUUAACUUGGAAAUAGCUGGCAGAUAGAGGGAAAGUAAUUAAGGUAUUAAAACAAGCAGUGCAUUCCUCCAGAGGACCUUAUCAACCAGGAACAGGCUCUGCAUCCCUCAAUAUGCUAAUGUAGGAAGAAUGACGUCACAGCUGCAAGUUUGUCUGCACCAUUCUGGAAACAAACGUGAAGUUCCGUAAAUGAAAUGAUAUUUCCCACUCUCUCCAUAAUCAUCAGAGUAUGAUAUGUUGUGUUUUAAAACGCCAGCCUACUUUUAUGUCAUAUUUUGCCGUAAUUUGCUAGAAUGAAAUGUAACGGUUUGGGUGACGCCUAUAAUUUAUAAUGCUUUGAAAGCAGAA